CGCACACACUCGUGCACAUGCAUAUUUGAAUGCUUCAAUAAACCAACGAAUUUGACAGGCUGCAGCAACAACACUGUAUGCAACGUCAAGCGAACGCAUUGCAAUUGUGUAUAUACACAUGUGUAUGUAUGUAUGUACAAUUUGUUUAUUUACGUAUGUUUUAUGUUUGUAUUAUUGUUGGUGUUGUUGUUACUGGUGGCGGUACUUGUAUAUAAACUCCACAACACGCGAGUGGUGACAACGAAUGGGGCAGAGUGUGCGCGGUGACACUUGCACUUGUCAGCCAUAAGUGCGAGUCGGUGUUAGCGAGUACAUUGUGACGAAUUCGUCGCUGUGGUCGGUCGGCUUGAAGUCGCUCCUCUGGCUUGCUAACUUGGACAAUGUUGGAUUUUCCAACUGGUCGGCAUUCAUAGCGCGCUCGCGUAACUGUGCACAUGUCUAAUUGACUUGGCAGGCUGGCAGAGAGUAGAAGUGGCCAAUUGCUCGAAGAAAACAAGUAAAAUAACAAGAAAAACAUUUGUGUGAAAAGUGCAAGGAGGAAAUGCAGUGACAGCAACAGGAAUCAACUGCCAAAUAAAACUUAUAUUUAUAAUAUUGCAAACUUUGGCAUGCCAGCGAAAUUGUGUAUGCGUCAAAAAUUGAAAUAAACACCACUAAGUGUGCACGUCGAAUUAUGUAUAUGUGAAAAGGUCUUAAUUAAAAAAUCGCCAAGCAGUUAUUUGAACUAUUGUUAUUGAGUACAAUCAACACGUCAACUACACUCACCAACUGCUCAAUAUAGACUUUGCUGAAAGAAGCCAACAAGCGCCCGCCGUUUGCGCUAGGAACAAUAAUAAUAACAACAACAGAAACACCUAAUGCAAAUAAGAACAAAUCCAAUUAGACAAAUAUUUACGCGAUAAAGUGGCCUGUGGCGUGCCUAUUUGCUUGCUUGCUUGACCACACCACCCACCCAUCGAAAGCUCGGCGCCAGUCGAAGAAUUAUACACACGCUUACGGGUCAACGGUGUCAUAGCGCGCACAGUAGGCGCAAGCGACAUUUGUGGCCCAAUAGACCUUAGCCAAAAA